UACGUAGGUGACAAGCGUUGUCCGGAUUUACUGGGCGUAAAGAGCGCGCAGGCGGUCGUUCAAGUCGAGUGUGAAAGCGCCCGGCUCAACUGGGCAGGGUCCAUGGAAACUGGUCAGCUGGAGGACGGUAGAGGCGAGUGGAAUUCCCGGUGUAGUGGUGAAAUGCGCAGAUAUCAGGAGGAACACCGGUGGCGAAGGCGGAUCUCUGGGCCUUACCUGACGCUGAGGCGCGAAAGCUAGGGGAGCGAACAGG
rnacentral:rRNA from 1 species